AUGAACGCUGGCGGCGUGCCUAACACAUGCAAGUCGAACGGAGAUUAACGCUGAUGAGGCUUCGGCGGAUUCUGUUAAAUCUAGUGGCGGACGGGUGAGUAACGCGUGGGCAACCUGCCUCAUACUGGGGGAUAACAGUUGGAAACGACUGUUAAUACCGCAUAAGCGCACUAAAGUCGCAUGACUCAGUGUGAAAAACUCCGGUGGUAUGAGAUGGGCCCGCGUCAGAUUAGCUAGUUGGUGGGGUAAAGGCCUACCAAGGCGACGAUCUGUAGCCGGACUGAGAGGUCGGACGGCCACAUUGGGACUGAGACACGGCCCAAACUCCUACGGGAGGCAGCAGUGGGGGAUAUUGCACAAUGGAGGAAACUCUGAUGCAGCGACGCCGCGUGAAGUGAAGAAGUAUUUCGGUAUGUAAAGCUCUAUCAGCAGGGAAGAAAGGCUCGUAGGAGAGAUGACGGUACCUGACUAAGAAGCCCCGGCUAACUACGUGCCAGCAGCCGC
rnacentral:rRNA from 1 species